rnacentral:lncRNA from 1 species
CAUGACCAAUGGGCUUUGAGGAGGCUGCCCGAGGCCAUAUUAGGGAUUAGGGUUAGUUUCUCGAGGCCAUUCGAACUUUGAAGGCUAGGGUCAGAAGGUUUUGGUUUUUGGUUAAGGUUUUGGUGCAAGUUUUGUGUCAUUUGGGGUUUUUAUUAAGAAGUUAUAGGCGCUCAAAGUUAAGGUGUAAGUUUUCGACGUACUGUCACUCUUUUGAGCAUACCGCACGCGUACGGAUGGCAAACGAGGAUCGGCAACCGGAUUUGAAGAGAACACUUUUUCGGCUACAGUUUGUGCAUACUGUUUAUCGAAUUCCAAGCUUUUAUGAAGGAGAUAUUGGCAGUUGAAGUCAGCGCUUGAUAUCUAAGGGUAGUAAGUAGUCCGAAUUACUUGUGCUUGUGAUUUGAGCUAUAUCUUAGACAAUUUGAUGAGGUUUUAGCUCAAAAUUUUCUAGAUUGAGUGUAAUCUUGUUAUAAAGCUUUCUAUACAAGUUUUGUGUGAUUUGGAGCUUGGGUUUAAGAGAUAUAAGGAAAAUAGUUUUCGGGUGCUUGUAAGUUAGGGUUUUGUGCACCUGCUAGGGUUUCUUAGAUGCCGAACGAUCGGUGAUAGAUGUACGGUUCUAUUUUUUUGUGGUAAAAUUUAAGUAUAGCAUCUAGCUUAUGUAGAAAUUUGAAACAAAUUGAACGGUUCGAUUAGCUUUUAUGAAUUUUCAAAGUCUGAUGUAAAAAGGUCCUUGGCGGGAAGAAAUAUAUUUUGAAGAAUUUUAAGAUAUUUUGAAUUUUUAUACAAAGCAAGGAGUUUGUUUUUGGGAGCUAAGGCAUUAUAUAAAAAAGAAACCUAAACUCUCUACAGCUAGAUACCUGGUGUAUUCCCAGAUAGAAAAUCACGCCAUACGACAAUGUCUGAC